rnacentral:lncRNA from 1 species
GUCAUAGCGACUUUUGGGAUAGUUUGCUAUCGACAAAGGGAGACAAAGUCAAGGGGUGAAGGGAAAGGAGGGCCAAGUAGAGCCUCCACGACCCUCGGCUUCCUCCUCACCAGCUCCCCCUCCCUCCAAGUCCAGUAAGAAGUUGGGCCAAGCUGGAAGGGAUUGACCGGGUUGCUUGUCUGGAGAUGGAGCCACUACAGGCGGGCCUGGGCGCCUGGAGUCGGGCAUGAAAGAAAAUAGCGCCUCAUCGCUCUUAUCUAAGCCCAGAGGUCCAGGGGACAACCUGAGGGCCCUGAAGUGUUUCAAUACCAUGUACCAGCUUGACUUCUCUACAUGUCCUUUGGAUUGCCCAAAAGCAAAAUCUCAGAGGGGCCAAGGACCUUCUAGGGCUGGCUCCCUCAGGGCCUCCUAUAGAGCAGCUCCUUGAGUCGGGCCUUAUAGCCACCAGAAAGUCACCUCGCCGCAGGAAAGCUAUAAAGAGCUGCUCCAGAGGCGCCGAAAGAGGGUGAGGGCUGCAGCCACAGUGUUUGUCCCCAGCACCACCAGGCCCCUUAACCUCGUCAGCUCCUCUAGCCCUCGGCCAGACUCUGGCAACACCUUGGUUUGCCUGGCACCGCAGGCAAUUUCCUGGAACCCCACCCCCACCCAGGAACGGGGACCACAGCACCUUUAAAGGAACUGCCAGAGCUUCCUCCUACGGCUUGAAAGCCCAAGCUAAUCAGUAACCCGUGAGACAGGGGCCAAUAUUCAAACGCUGCAGCAGAGGCGCAUAGCCUAGCCCUGGCCACCCCCUCUUGGGAAGGAGGUCGAGUUAAGCCGGUGUGGAGGGUCCAACAGGAACGGAAAUUACGACGGUGUGGUUCCUUAAGGAUUUGGCCCCAGUCCCACUACCAAAUUUUUCCCAAAUCAUAUUUAGGUAGACUUCGCUUGAAAAGAUCGAGAAUGGAGGAGGGGAUCGGCACUCACUUGCAGACAUCAACAGUUUCCAGAAAAUUCGGUUCAAUUCCUUCACCACGGACCCACCAACCAAGGAGCUGGCAAAACCCACUAACCAACCAGGAGAACACAGACCCGCCGUUUCCUCUCCCUCGCCGGCCUCGGCGGAGAUUCCAGGCCCUAUAGAAACCAGGACGUCCCUUAGCGCCACCGCCUCACAUGCCAGUGCUGCCGGGAACCCAGCGAUAUCCGCACCAGCGGAGAAGGUUCCAGGCUGCCGGCGGCGGCGCAGAGAGCGGGAAGAGAGGCUCGGAGGAAGCCCCGGGCGUGGCGUGGUCAGGCUCCGAGAGCGGCCGGGAUGCGGCCACACCGGCCUGGUAAACUCGCACCUCUUAGGAUCUUGCUCCCGGACUCAUUCCCUUCCCCACCCCCUAUUUUAAAGUUUUAUUUGGGUCGUCUGUAUCAAUUUAGAACGAGAUAAAUUAAGACAAAGAAAGUAAAAUAAAUCGAAAUAAAAUAUAGGAAUAGCUCUUGGCGAAAA